rnacentral:miRNA from 1 species
UCACCGGGAUAUCAGAUGCUC